AACGAACGCUGGCGGCAGGCUUCAUACAUGCAAGUCGAGCGCACCUUUUAGGUGAGCGGCGGACGGGUUAGUAACGCGUGGGAACGUGCCCUUUAGUACGGAAUAGCCAUUGGAAACGAUGAGUAAUACCGUAUACUAAAAGAGGGGGAAAGAUUUAUCGCUAAAGGAUCGGCCCGCGUUAGAUUAGGUAGUUGGUGGGGUAAAAGCCUACCAAGCCUACGAUCUAUAGCUGGUUUGAGAGGAUGAUCAGCAACACUGGGACUGAGACACGGCCCAGACUUCUACGGAAGGCAGCAGUAGGGAAUCUUGGACAAUGGGCGAAAGCCUGAUCCAGCCAUGCCGCGUGAGUGAUGAAGGCCCUAGGGAUGUAAAGCUCUUUCGCCAGGGAAGAUAAUGACGGUACCUGGUAAAGAAACCCCGGCUAACUCCGUGCCAGCA
rnacentral:rRNA from 1 species